rnacentral:rRNA from 1 species
GAUGAACGCUGGCGGCGUGCCUAAUACAUGCAAGUCGAGCGAACAGACGAGGAGCUUGCUCCUCUGACGUUAGCGGCGGACGGGUGAGUAACACGUGGAUAACCUACCUAUAAGACUGGGAUAACUUCGGGAAACCGGAGCUAAUACCGGAUAAUAUAUUGAACCGCAUGGUUCAAUAGUGAAAGACGGUUUUGCUGUCACUUAUAGAUGGAUCCGCGCCGCAUUAGCUAGUUGGUAAGGUAACGGCUUACCAAGGCAACGAUGCGUAGCCGACCUGCGAGGGUGAUCGGCCACACUGGAACUGAGACACGGUCCAGACUCCUACGGGAGGCAGCAGUAGGGAAUCUUCCGCAAUGGGCGAAAGCCUGACGGAGCAACGCCGCGUGAGUGAUGAAGGUCUUCGGAUCGUAAAACUCUGUUAUUAGGGAAGAACAAAUGUGUAAGUAACUAUGCACGUCUUGACGGUACCUAAUCAGAGAGCCACGGCUAACUACGUGCCAGCAGCCGCCGUAA